rnacentral:rRNA from 1 species
UACGGAGGAUGCAAGCGUUAUCCGGAAUGAUUGGGCGUAAAGCGUCCGCAGGUGGCUGUGUAAGUCUGCUGUUAAAGAGUCUAGCUCAACUAGAUAAAAGCAGUGGAAACUACACGGCUAGAGUACGUUCGGGGCAGAGGGAAUUCCUGGUGUAGCAGUGAAAUGCGUAGAGAUCAGGAAGAACACCGGUGGCGAAGGCGCUCUGCUAGGCCGUAACUGACACUGAGGGACGAAAGCUAGGGGAGCGAAUGGG